rnacentral:rRNA from 1 species
GACGAACGCUGGCGGCGUGCCUAAUACAUGCAAGUCGAACGAACCGCGACUAGGUGCUUGCACUUGGUCAAGGUGAGUGGCGAACGGGUGAGUAACACGUGGGUAACCUACCUCAUAGUGGGGGAUAACAGUCGGAAACGACUGCUAAUACCGCAUAGGACAUAGGAUCACAUGAUCCAGUGAGGAAAGGUGGCGCAAGCUAUCGCUAAGAGAUGGACCCGCGGUGCAUUAGCUAGUUGGUAGGGUAAAGGCCUACCAAGGCGAUGAUGCAUAGCCGACCUGAGAGGGUGAUCGGCCACAUUGGGACUGAGACACGGCCCAAACCCCUACGGGAGGCAGCAGUGGGGAAUCUUCCGCAAUGGACGCAAGUCUGACGGAGCAACGCCGCGUGAGUGAAGAAGGUCUUCGGAUCGUAAAGCUCUGUUGUUAGAGAAGAACAGCGCAUAGAGUAACUGUUAUGCGUGUGACGGUAUCUAACCAGAAAGCCACGGCUAACUACGUG